rnacentral:rRNA from 1 species
UACGGAGGGUGCAAGCGUUAUCCGGAUUUACUGGGUUUAAAGGGUGUGUAGGCGGGUCAUUAAGUCAGUGGUGAAAUCUCCGAGCUUAACUUGGAAACUGCCAUUGAUACUAUUGAUCUUGAAUUUUGUUGAGGUAGACGGAAUAAGUCAUGUAGCGGUGAAAUGCAUAGAUAUGACUUAGAACACCAAUUGCGAAGGCAGUUUACUAAACAAACAUUGACGCUGAGGCACGAAAGCGUGGGGAUCAAACAGG